AUUGAACGCUGGCGGCAUGCUUUACACAUGCAAGUCGAGCGGCAGCGCGGGGGCAACCCUGGCGGCGAGCGGCGAACGGGUGAGUAAUGCAUCGGAACGUAUCCUCGAGUGGGGGAUAACCCAGCGAAAGUUGGGCUAAUACCGCAUGAGCUCUGAGGAGGAAAGCGGGGGACCUGCGAGGGCCUCGCGCUGGAGGAGCGGCCGAUGUCCGAUUAGCUAGUUGGUGGGGUAAAGGCUUACCAAGGCGACGAUCGGUAGCUGGUCUGAGAGGAUGAUCAGCCACACUGGGACUGAGACACGGCCCAGACUCCUACGGGAGGCAGCAGUGGGGAAUUUUGGACAAUGGGGGCAACCCUGAUCCAGCCAUGCCGCGUGAGUGAAGAAGGCCUUCGGGUUGUAAAGCUCUUUCGGACGGAACGAAAUGGGCGGGACUAAUACUCCUGUCUGACGACGGUACCGUAAGAAGAAGCACCGGCUAACUACGUG
rnacentral:rRNA from 1 species